AAGUUGUAACAAGGUUUCCGUAGGUGAACCUGCGGAAGGAUCAUUAUUGAAAUAAAUCUGGCAUGAGGUUGAAGCUGGCCCCUCUGGGGGCAUGUGCUCGCCUUUGCCACCUUUAUCUUUCCACCUGUGCACACACUGUAGUCCUGGAUACCUCUCGCUGCAAGGCGGAUGCAGGGCCUGCUGUGACUUUGUGGCAACGCAAAGGCCGGCUUGCUCUGAAUUUCCAGGUCUAUGAAUCUUUUAUAACACCCCCUAAACGAAUGUCUAUAGAAUGUAUAUCACUGGGCCUUUGUGCCUAUAAAACCUUAUACAACUUUCAACAACGGAUCUCUUGGCUCUC
rnacentral:misc_RNA from 1 species